rnacentral:rRNA from 1 species
GACGAACGCUGGCGGCGUGCUUAACACAUGCAAGUCGAACGGUGAACCUCUUCGGAGGGGUUCAGUGGCGAACGGGUGAGUAACACGUGGGCAACCUGCCCCCGGCUCUGGGAUAACUCCAAGAAAUUGGGGCUAAUACCGGAUGUUCACCGCUUCCCGCAUGGGUGGUGGUGCAAAGGGUUUCCGGCUGGGGAUGGGCCCGCGGCCUAUCAGCUUGUUGGUGGGGUAGUGGCCUACCAAGGCGACGACGGGUAGCCGGCCUGAGAGGGUGACCAGCCACACUGGGACUGAGACACGGCCCAGACUCCUACGGGAGGCAGCAGUGGGGAAUAUUGCGCAAUGGGCGGAAGCCUGACGCGGCGACGCCGCGUGGGGGAUGACGGCCUUCGGGUUGUAAACCUCUUUCAGCAGGGACGAAGCGCAAGUGACGGUACCUGCAGAAGAAGCACCGGCCAACUACGUG